CGCUUCCUCCCCGCCGCCUGUCCCGGCGGCUCUAGCCCCGAGCCCAGGGGCUCCCGCAGCCCUCCGUGAUCCGCCCGCUCCGCUCCGGCCCUCUUCUCAGGGGCCCUGGCGCCCCCCCGCAGGGUCCGCGGUGGCAAUGGAGCGCGCGGCUGGUCCUCUCCGAAAUGCCUUCUCGGGUCGGGUUCUCGAAGGCAAAGCCCCGGGGGCCCCCCUCGACUAUGGCGUGCUGGGCCACGGUCCGCGCGCCGAGCCCGGGGCGCCGUGGGGGGAUCAUGCGGGGGCCCCUCAUCCGGCCCCGGUGCCGCCGCGGUGCCCAGGGGGCGCGUUCCUGCCUGCCACCCCCCACCCAGAGGAGCGGCGCACCCUUGGGGUUCACCCCGAACCUGCCGGCUCCGCGCUCGCGGCGCCUGGACAGCCCCGGGACUCUGCCAGGUGGAUGUUGUGCGUAGCCGGAGCCAAGUUGAAGGAGGGAAGCAAAUCAACUCCAGAUGCAGCCUCGAAUGAAAUGAAGCGGAUUGGAUUAAAACCUAUAUAAAUGGAGUCUGACAACUUUAAUUGUAUAUGCUUGUUUUCUGUUCCUGCCUACGUGAGGACGAUAAAGCAGACUCAUAGUCGUUAUGAAAUGUCUUGAAAUUUCUCGCUUAACUAGGAAGAGGACUAUGUGAAAUAUGUAUUUCCGAUAAGAUUAAAACUUAAAGGAGUUUGAGUAUUUAUUGACUAAAAUAGAUUACUCCAAAGUGUCUAUUGUGUAAAUUAGAUUCCUGAAUGUAAUGAACACAGCCGAAUGGCAUUUUUGAUAAAUUGGUCUACCCUGUUUUAGUAAAAAUAGCUCCCUUUUACCAUAAUUUAAUUCCUGUGUUUACUGUAAAACCCGUUGUGGAGUUUUGAAGGACAAACCUUAAUUUUUUUCCCUUGUCUUCCUAAAUGGACAUUUAGCCGAACAUCAGUGAGGUUUAUUUUUUAAGCAUCUUGGCAAAACUCCAUGGGAGAUGGAUUUGGUUUCCAGAGAGGUAUUAGAUUUUAUGAACUCUUUGACACCCCAAAUCGGCUGGUGAUUAGCUGCUUCAGGAUAUCAUGAGGAUGUUUAACUGUAACUGCAGGAUUGGGUUGGAAGUUUCCUUGUCAGUUUACGUGAAUGAACUUUAAGGUAUUGGUCUUGAAAAAGCAGAUUAUGGGAGCGAGCAUCACUAUCAUUCUCUGUACGGAGCAUCCAUUGACUUUGGGUGGUAGAUAAAGAUUUGGCCUUAGAUGAUUUCCUGUUGCCACUCCAUCGCAGGUCUGAGAACCUUCAUUUGGCUAUGGAAUGCCAGAGUUCAAGUAUAAGGCUAAACUGGUUCUUUCUCUGGGCCCUGAAGAGGCCUUUUGAGUUGGUAUCCAGUUUAACGUCAUCUCUGUUCCCACAGAGUAAGUGAGCCAAUGAGACUGCAGUUUGAGAAGAGAGAAUUCAUUAGUUUCAGACUCUUCUCGUCUUUCCAGAGCCCCUGACCCAGAGAUCGGGUUGCCUGCAGAGCCCCGUAUGGGCUGUGGCGCUGCCACCUGAGGGUAGAGACUAGACUCAGAUCCAGGUUGGAGACUUCUGCGGGUCUGCUGGAGACCAGACAGUUGAGCCCCUCCCAUGCCUCUGCUGUGCCCCAGUGAGCCGGGCCUGAGUUCUUGUCCCUCUGCUUGGUCUUGAAGCUGCAUUGGGAUGUGGACUGAGUGCCCAGGAAGAGAGCUUCUGAAGAUUGAGCUCUAUUUCGUUUCCUUUUUAGUCCCAAAGGCUUGUGGUAUGGAAGUGUCAGUGCUUUGGUGUUGCUAAGACUAGUUGGACAAGUUUUUUAUCCUAUCCCAGACUUGUAAAAACCAGGCUUUUUUUUUUUUUUGGGUAACAAGAAAAACACCAUUGUAUAAAUUUGCCUUUUAAAUACAUGUUUGAAAAGAGGACACUUUCUAAAACAAGCUCAUGUAACUGUGUGUGAGCGAAGCUUUUGGGGACGGGGCCUGCCAGUGACUGGCUUCCCAUGGGGGCGUUAGUCCUACGUGAUGACUGGUGCUCCCCUUUAAGGAGUCUCCCCAAAAGUAACCUUGAAACGUUUUUCCUUUUUCAAAAUCAGAAAAUAAUUCCAGGUUUGUCGAAAGUCUGUUUCUCUGAUGGGUUUUAAUUUGCGUUUUCCUGUUAUGGCAGUGUUCCCCAGAAGUAUAUUAUCUUGAUUACAAUACGUAUCCCAUUCAGUACCCUUUAGAAACUACCGAGGAAACAUCAUCAAGGAGUUCUACACAGCUGCUGUCUUUGUUUUCUUGGUUCUUUUAAUAUCGGUGUCUUUGAGAUUGGGUGUGGGAGGGGGUCGUUGUCAGUGGAUUAAAGGUUUUUUCCCUCUCUGUGAAA